rnacentral:rRNA from 1 species
UCUUAACGACUCUCGGCAACGGAUAUCUCGGCUCUCGCAUCGAUGAAGAACGUAUCGAAAUGCGAUACUUGGUGUGAAUUGCAUAAUCCCGUGAACCAUCGAGUCUUUGAACGCAAGUUGCGCCCGAAGCCAUUAGGCCGAGGGCACGUCUGCCUGGGCGUCAC